rnacentral:sRNA from 1 species
AGGUCGCGCUCCCACUGCCGAGCCCGCGAGAUGCUCCCCAGAGCUGCCUGGAGCUUGGUGCUGAGGAAAGGUGGAGGUGGAAGACGAGGGAUGCACAGCUCAGAAGGCACCACCCAUGGUGGGGGGAAGAUGUCCCCCUACACCAACUGCUAUGCCCAGCGCUACUACCCCAUGCCAGAAGAGCCCUUCUGCACAGAACUCAACGCUGAGCAGCAGGCCCUGAAGGAGAAGGAGAAGGGAAGCUGGACCCAGCUGACCCACGCCGAAAAGGUGGCCUUAUUUCCUCCAAAGCCGAUCACCUUGACGGACGAGUGGAAAGCCCAGCAGCUGCAGCGCAU